UGCUGUGACAUAAGAAAUCGUGCAUGAUCUGCCUCCCAGCAACAGUGACGUUCUGACCUGCGUAUUUAGUAGGUUUUGCUAGCAUAUGUUAGCAUAGGAAGAUUUAUGAGAGUGGGACACAGCAGGACUGUAGUGUUUCCAGACGUUUAUCAGCGUAGCAUCUCGCACAUUGGACAUGGUCAUUUCUUUCGGGGCUUUUAGUCAAAAUAUGGAAUUUACUUUAAGGCAGCUGCGUUCACUUGGUCCUGUAACGUGCUGACUGCAGUGUUUCAACAGAAAUGGCACGAGAGUGGAUAUGUGUGAAACGUCACCUGUGGUAGUUUGUGGUUACGGAGAGCCAAUCACAUAGCAGUCAGUGGACCGGACAUACUGUAAUGGCGCCCGGCGAUAUCAUCAGCAUCGACUGUUGUCGCUUCUGGGGCAGCAAGCGCCACAGGAGAGACUUAGCCGGGCGUCAGCAUGCGAGGGGCGGCGGCAGUGGCGCCCCCGCACAGCACAUGCAGAGCCCGCCCACGCCCACGGCCGCGCAGGCCGCGCGGCAGCAGUCUCCCGGCGCCGGCGGCACCUUCCGCGUCACGCUCUCCAUGAAGAAGGAGCCCGACGGCGGGCCCGUGUUCUGCAAGAUGGAGCAGACGCAGCGCUUCAAGCAGCUCAAGACCGUCAAGCUGCACACCGACACCGUCUACCGCAUCGACGUCAGCUUCAAGCCGCCGCGCGCCCUCCAGAGCCUGGUGAUCCAGGGCCAGGAGAUGGAGCCUUGCGAGCGAGCGCGGGACAGCACGGCGUGCGCCUACUCCUCCUACUACAACACGGAGGGCCUGAGCCCCAGCAAGAAGGGCACCCGCGAGGACCUCACCAUCAUCAUGAAGGUGGAUGGCUCUGGUGAACUCUCAACAUGCCUGCAGAUAAAACUGUACAAAGCCCAUGACAUACAGCACUGUGAAUGGGGCAGCCGCCUACACUGUAUAGAACUGGACUGCACAUCAACUGAAGGUCCUGAGGGAGUGCGUGUCAACCGUGAGACGUACAGUGGUGCAGCUGCCUGUCAUCAUCAGGUGUUGCAGAAAACUGAGUGCUUGCUGCUAGCAAGGCCCAGAGGAAAUUCCUUUUUCCAGCACCGGAGGAAGCACACUGCAGCCUCUGUCCAGCUAGUGGACAGCAGGGUUACCGAGAUCUCUCAUACCUGUCCAACUGCAGACAGCUCUGAUGAAUAGCAAUUUUCCAACACAACGUGACGACUGGAUACAGAUCAACUGCCCACUUUUAACAAGGAUCAAGACAGGAAUUUGGAUGGUUCUCUAACCAAGGUCAUGACCAUCAUUUGCCCGCAGAAAUAAAUCAGCACAGAAAACAUGACUGAGGAUAUUUUUACCUGGAUUUAAAGGAAACUGGGUCUUGACAGUUAACUUCAUUGCCCACGAGAAGUUAUCAAUGUGGCUAUACAAAACAUUAUCAAAAAUAAACCCCACAAUCUUGAACUCAUUGGUAAAUGACUCUGCUUUAUAAAAAUAAAGAGGCAAAUUAAUAUGAUAACAUCUAUGCAAAAAAUAUGGUAUUUUAUUUGAAAUACUUAUUCAAAUAGCAUCCACUGACAAAGCAUGUCAUCCAUAUGGACAGUGAAAUGUGAUGAAUAAUGAAUCUGAGCUGUAUAUGUGGCAAAAAUGAUACCGAACAGAAAUGUCUCUGCUAGGGAGACAAAUAUAUAAAAAGCACAAGUUCUUAAAAUGAAGUUUCAGUCAUUAAACAGUCUGAAUUACCUCAUAUUGAGGUAAUUUUCAGCAGCCAUGUCAAUUUUACCUGCAUUUUUAUAAAUGCUUUCAGUCUGCUUAAGGUGCCUAAUUUGCAAAUGGAAAUUAAUAACUAUACCAUAUUCUUAAUUUUUAUCUGUUAACGUAUCUUAUUGUAAACUAUUUACCUGCCCACGCAAAGAUAAAUGCUCUUGUCAUUCUUAAGAUUCAGCAUUUCACAAGAAAGUAAAAGUUCUUUUCUACUAUUGAGUAAAAAACUGAAUAAAAAUAUUUUCAGAUGAUGUCAGAAAUUCUAUUAUUUGGUCUCUAUAUAAAAGAAUAAUAUAGCUAUCUCCCUUUUUUUCUUGUUUAGUUCAAUUGAUUGCAGUGCUCUAGAAUUUCUUGUAUUUAUAUCUCUAUCCUGUAAUCUCAGUAAACUACAUUGGAUUCUCAAUAAAAUGCAUUAUAUCUUACACUUUCCCUUAUUUUCAUUAUCUGUGGUUCUUUCUAUUAUCAGUCUAGAUCAGCAUAAUUUGAGACCUAAAAUGAAAUGGAUUUUGGCCUAAUGUUUCUCUCGUGCAUGAAUCAUCAGCAUAUGAAUGCUUUUGGUUUGAACUCCUGUAUGUCACAUCAUCACUGAAUGCUAAAUAAAGAUGUUAUCUCAUAAGAGAAAACAAUCAGCUCUAUUAGUGCCUACUCUUGAAAACAAAUGCAGGAUCUUGCAGUUCAAUCAAAUCACCCAGAGCAAUGAUUUGUUUGUCAGCUCCUUGCAGUGUUAACAAAUCAUAUCAACCAAACCCAAUUCAGUAAGACUGAUUUGUGGAUUAGGCAGCCUGAAACCAAUAGACCAUCUCUCUUUAUAUCUAUUUCUGCAUUAUUAUCAAGAAAACAUUACUCAUUAAAAUGUGACAGGAGCUGAAAUUUCAUCAGAUGAACAUAAACUUUGCCCAUGAAACAUAUCAAUGUAAUUAAUGUAUCAGGAAAGAUCAGGUAAUUUUUUUCUCCUUUUUGUAGGGUCAUCAUCAUCACCAUCAUCAUCGCUUUGCUUUGCAUUUUACUUACAUCACAUAAACAAUCUGCCUUAUUCUGCUUACAAAUGGGAACAACUUUCUGCCUUUCAAUCUGAAAUGAGUAAUUCAAAUGGCAAUAUAAAGUAGGUAUUUAGUGGACCGUUUUAACCAGCUGAUAAAUGUAGCUUGCAUUGCAAUGUUACAUCUUAAACUAAACCAUUUAUACAAGGCAGUUAAUAACAUUUAUAAUACAAUGCUAUAUGGUUAUUUUUGUCUAAGAUUGCAAGGAGAGUAGUGCUGUUGUAGAAAUGUACUAAAAAUAUUACUUAGACACUGAAUAUUAAAAUAUUAGGUAUAUUUUUAAAUAAAAUUAUUUUCAAAGUUAUACUAAUUCAAAGCUAAAAUAAUACAUUUAGAAGUAUAUACAUUUAGUGGUUUUGCAAAUUGUAUGAAUGACUUUGACACCAAAAGUCAAUAGCUCAUUGUAAAAAAUUAUAUUAUAUAUUAAUUUUAUGAGAUGCUCAACUUAAUAUGUAGUCUUUAAAGAAUAUACUUAGUGUUACUACUAGUGGUAAUGUGACUCUUUCUCAAGUAAGAGAAAGAAAAUGGCUUCUUUGUCUGCUCUGGAUAUGAAGCAGCAAUGAUAUCACGACAUGUUUGGACUUCUUCACUUAUCAGAAAAUGUACUGAAGUAAAAAAGACAACAACGUCUGAAUCAAAGCAUACAUGGCACAGUUGUUUGCUAUUUGCUGAAAGUCCUUUUGAAAUUUAUUUUUGUCCAUUUGGAUAUAAACGCAAUAAACAAUUUGCGCCUCAUCACCAUGUGUACUGUGGCACCAUGGUAUCCAGUCUAGAAGCUGUAUUUUAUGUAAUAUAUCCAGAAAUUCUGUUUUUAUUGUUACUAUUAUUAUUUUAUUAUUAACAAUAUUUCAAUUCUUGCUGUACACAUGGAGACAACUGGUUUAUGUGAAGAACUGUCUUUUUGAGUACUCAUGAGAGCACUAGUUGACCGUAAGGUUUUUUGUGAAUCAAUUAAUAAUACAAUAAAUUUUAAAAAAUCUGUUUAACGUUAAUGGUUCUGUUAUAAUUGUUAAAUGAACAAGCAAUGAGCAGAACUUUCCAGAUGGAUUACCUAUGGCUAGUAUUUUUCCUGCUGCAUGUACUGUAUAACCUUGUUGAAUACAAUUGCAUAAAUAAAAUACGGACUUUCUUUUGUCAAACAUAAAA